UCUGGUCAUGCUCGCUAUGGCGAGUAAGGUUGAUCGAUGUGGCGAGCUACGACUUGUAACUCGCGAGGCGAAGGGAAAUGGCUCACGUGGCGAGCGAUGAACUUCAUCACUCGCGAGGCGAGGAUCAUCGUUCGCGAGGGCGAGCGAUGAUUAUAGUCUCGGGCAGAAUGCAAUUUUUCACGAAAAUCCAACAUCUCACAUGGUUAAAAGCCUAAUUUCGAUUCCAGAAAUAAUCCUAUUCAUAAUCUAAGGUCAAAGAACAGUUUCUACAUCAAUCUAACCAAUUUUCACCGUUUAAUCAUCAAUUCUAUUAAUUUGACCUAAUUCUCGACUUCUCCAAUUCAAUCCUAUUUCUUGCUAAUUACAACCGGAUGGAUUACACGAUUAAUAAAAUUGAAGAGUUAGUCUCACCCUUACCUUAAUUGAAGAAAUCGCAGCUCUCUCUAUGACUUCUCCCUCCUAAGGCUUUUUCCUCCUUUUUCCAAAGUUUGAUCGUACGUACAAAGUGUUUCCUAAAACUAGGUUUUUCUCUUUUUAUAUCUCCUCAUAAAAUCUUAUCUUAUCUCACUUUCUCCCUCCUAUUUUAUUUUAUUUUCAAAUCUUAGUUUAUUAAACAACAAAAUAAGUCUCAUAACCUCAUAAAAAUCGUCACAACACAUAACUCAUCUAAAAUCAUCCAAAUCAUCUAAAUCGUCAUAAAUCAUCAUAAAUCACAUAAAUCGCACAU
rnacentral:lncRNA from 1 species